CUCUUCGGAGGUUAGCGGCGGACGGGUGAGUAACACGUGGGCAACCUGCCUGUAAGACUGGGAUAACUCCGGGAAACCGGAGCUAAUACCGGAUACUAUGUCAAACCGCAUGGUUUGACAUUCAAAGACGGUUUCGGCUGUCACUUACAGAUGGGCCCGCGGCGCAUUAGCUAGUUGGUGAGGUAAUGGCUCACCAAGGCGACGAUGCGUAGCCGACCUGAGAGGGUGAUCGGCCACACUGGGACUGAGACACGGCCCAGACUCCUACGGGAGGCAGCAGUAGGGAAUCUUCCGCAAUGGACGAAAGUCUGACGGAGCAACGCCGCGUGAGUGAUGAAGGUUUUCGGAUCGUAAAACUCUGUUGUCAGGGAAGAACAAGUGCCGGAGUAACUGCCGGCACCUUGACGGUACCUGACCAGAAAGCCACGGCUAACUACGUGCCAGCAGCCGCGGUAAUACGUAGGUGGCAAGCGUUGUCCGGAAUUAUUGGGCGUAAAGCGCGCGCAGGCGGUUUCUUAAGUCUGAUGUGAAAGCCCCCGGCUCAACCGGGGAGGGUCAUUGGAAACUGGGAAACUUGAGUGCAGAAGAGGAGAGUGGAAUUCCACGUGUAGCGGUGAAAUGCGUAGAGAUGUGGAGGAACACCAGUGGCGAAGGCGACUCUCUGGUCUGUAACUGACGCUGAGGCGCGAAAGCGUGGGGAGCGAACAGGAUUAGAUACCCUGGUAGUCC
rnacentral:rRNA from 2 species